rnacentral:rRNA from 1 species
UACGGAGGGUGCGAGCGUUGUUCGGAAUCACUGGGCAUAAAGCGCACGUAGGCGGCGACGUAAGUUGGGUGUGAAAUCCCUCGGCCCAACCGAGGAACUGCGCCCAGUACUGCGUUGCUUGAGGAUCCAAGGGGUGCAUGGAAUUCCCGGUGGAGCGGUGAAAUGCGUUGAUAUCGGGAGGAACUCCGGCGGCGAAAGCGGUGCACUGGUGGAUUACUGACGCUGAGGUGCGAAAGCCAGGGGAGCAAACGGG